rnacentral:rRNA from 1 species
AACGAACGCUGGCGGCAUGCCUAACACAUGCAAGUCGAACGAGACCUUCGGGUCUAGUGGCGCACGGGUGCGUAACGCGUGGGAACCUGCCCUUAGGUUCGGAAUAACUCCCCGAAAGGGGUGCUAAUACCGGAUAAUGUCUUCGGACCAAAGAUUUAUCGCCUUUGGAUGGGCCCGCGUUGGAUUAGCUAGUUGGUAGGGUAAAAGCCUACCAAGGCGACGAUCCAUAGCUGGUCUGAGAGGAUGAUCAGCCACACUGGGACUGAGACACGGCCCAGACUCCUACGGGAGGCAGCAGUGGGGAAUAUUGGACAAUGGGCGAAAGCCCGAUCCAGCAAUGCCGGGUGAGUGAUGAAGGCCUUAGGGUUGUAAAGCUCUUUUACCCGGGAUGAUAAUGACAGUACCGGGAGAAUAAGCUCCGGCUAACUCCGUG